UGAAUACGAGACGCUAAGGCGUCGAAGUAGUGUAUAUCAGACUUCCAAGAAAAGCUUGCACUGUCAUAGAUAAAAAAUGCCUGUACCAUAACCGACACAGGUGGGUAGGUAGAGUAUACUAAGGGGCGCGAGAUAACUCUCUCUAAGGAACUCGGCAAAAUAACUCCGUAACUUCGGGAGAAGGAGUGCCUUAUUUAUAAGGUUGCAAUAACAAGAUCCAAGCAACUGUUUAUCAAAAACACAGGUCUCCGCUAAGUCGUAAGACGAUGUAUGGGGGCUGACGCCUGCCCAGUGCCAGAAGGUUAAAGAAGUUGGUUAGCAAUUGCGAAGCUGAUAACUGAAGCCCUGGUGAACGGCGGCCGUAACAAUAACGGUCCUAAGGUAGCGAAAUUCCUUGUCGGGUAAGUUCCGACCCGCACGAAAGGCGUAAUGAUUUGGAUACUGUCUCGGAGAGGGGCUCGGUGAAAUAGACUUGUCUGUGAAGAUGCGGACUACCUGCACCAGGACAGAAAGACCCUAUGAAGCUUUACUGUAACUUGAAAUUGAAAUUGGACUUUAUUCGCGCAGCAUAGGUGGGAGGCGUUGAUUAUAAUCUCGCGGGAUUAUUGGAGCCAUCAGUGAGAUACCACUCUUGUAAUGUUAGAUUUCUAACUUUGAAUCAUUAUCUGGUCAAAGAACAGUUUCAGGCGGGCAGUUUGACUGGGGCGGUCGCCUCCUAAAUGGUAACGGAGGCGUACAAAGGUUUCCUCUGAACGGUUAGAAAUCGUAUCUAGAGUGUAAAGGCAUAAGGAAGCUUGACUGUGAGACCUACAAGUCGAGCAGGGACGAAAGUCGGUCUUAGUGAUCUGACGGUACUGAGUGGAAAGGCCGUCACUCAACGGAUAAAAGUUACUCUAAGGAUAACAGGCUGAUCUCCCCCAAGAGUUCACAUCGACGGGGAGGUUUGGCACCUCGAUGUCGGCUCAUCGCAUCCUGGGGCGGUAGUACGUCCCAAGGGUUGGGCUGUUCGCCCAUGAAAGCGGUACGCGAGCUGGGUUCAGAACGUCGUGAGACAGUUCGGUCCAUAUCCGGUGUAGGCGUUAGAAUAUUGAGAGGAGCCUUCUUUAGUACGAGAGGACCGAGAAGGACAUACCUCUGGUGUACCAGUUAUCGUGCCAACGGUAAACGCUGGGUAGCUAUGUAUGGAGUGGAUAACCGCUGAAAGCAUCUAAGUGGGAAGCCCACCUCAAGAUAAGUAUUC
rnacentral:rRNA from 1 species